UUUUUUUCAAGAUUAUUGGAUGAAUAAAAUAUAUAGGCAAGUGAAUUUUAGUAUUACAAUUUCUUCUUCACUGUUUAUUCGUUGAUGGUUCUUCCUCAGCGUCAUCGUCAUUAUCGUCGUCGUCAUCAUCCUUAUCGUCAUUAUCAUUAUCGUCGUCGUCAUCAUCCUCCUCAUCAUCAUUAUCAUCAUUAUCAUCAUCAUCAUCAUCACUCAUGUUACAUUUUUCAUUAAAGCUCGGGUCCAAGUCCAUAAAUGCAUCUAAAAACUCCGAAUCAAUCUCUGGUAAUCCUUGAAUUCCUCUUUCUACUCUAACCCAAUCCUUCAAACACUCGAGCCUUUCAACCGAACUGUUACCCAUUAAAUAACUUUUCUCCCCUAUUUCCACCAACUCACCCUGACUAUAAACUCUGCUUAUUGAAAUAGUUGACACAGGAACCGCUAAUACAUCACGAGCCAUUCUAGAAAGUACUGGAAAUUUCCUCGCGUUUUCUUUCCACCAUACCAAUAAAUCAAAAUCAGACUCAUCAAUAUCAUAUUGUUGCUCCAAAUAAAAACUAAGUUCAUUAAAAUUAGAUCGUUUUGACUCAUUUGACAUUACAACAUGUUUUUCCCAAAACUCACAACCAGGAAAACGCUUAGAUGAAGAAGAAGAAGCAGGAGGCACAGGGGGCUGUGUACGUUCAAUUUUAACUUCAUAAUCUGAAUAUAUUUCAUUAGCUAAUUUUAAUAAAUCAUUUUUAUGAGAACUUAAAUCUUCUUCACUAUAGUUCAACUCCAAAUUUUGAUAUAAAAUUUUAAGGCAUAGUUCUAUAUGUUGUAAUUUCAUCAUAGGAUCUAACAAUACACCAAGUAAAUAUAUUGGAGGUACAGGAAUAAAAUGUUUAAUAAAUAUAGCUCUCAUGUUAGGUAUUAUAUUACUAAAGAAAGGCUUAUCCUUAAAUUUAAAAAAUAAUGAAGCUAUGUCAUUCAAAUAAAUAAGUAUAGAAUUACAAGUUGGAUGAUUAGAACUAGAAAAGUGUGCAGCAGCAAAGCAAAAUUGUCCUAAAAAUUUAACUAUGUCUUCACAUAUAUCCCAAUUUAUGUUAUUCAAUUCAUCUUUUUCCUCAUAAUCAAGAGAUUCAUUAUAUGCUUCAGUAAGAAUGGGUUUGCACAUAAAGGCAAGGACUAACAUCUCAUAUGUACUAUUCCACCUUGUUGGAAUAUCAGUUGUUAGGUAUUUUGCUUUGUGAUAUUGAGCUAAACACUUUUUGUAAAAUUCAUUUUCUGUUGAACGGCAAAUCAUCAUGUAACGCAUUGCUUCUCUUAUUUUCCUAAGUUCAGGUUCAAAAUGAGUAAUUCCAUCUUUAACAAUUGAAUUUAGAAUAUGGCAUGCACAUGUAACAUACUUAUGCUUUAAUUCUUUAACAGCUAAUUCAUUAGGAGUUUCUCUAUAAAAUGAAAUAGAAAAUAUCUUAUUACCAAGACAAUAACGACGUGAAUACUCACCAAUCAUGGCUAUAAUUAAACCUACAUCAUGAAUAUCAUCAGUUAAAUAUCUUUUUUGAUAUGCUAAAAUUAUUUUUUGCAUAAUAUAGUUAUCAUCAAUCCAAUGGGCAGUUAGGCAUAAAAUAGCUUCUCCUUCUGAAUCAGUAUUAAUUAUAUCAAAAGCUAAGGUUACUUUACUAGAAAGAGACUUGAAAUUUUCAAUUAUUUGGUUUUGAUACUCAAGAAAUUGUUUCUUAAUUUCAGGUAUAAUAGUUUUCCUAGGGAUUGGCUUAUAUUCGGGAUAAUGGGCAGUUCGAAUAUAAAUUGUUAGAGAAUUUAUGAAACUUGUAUUAUAAAGAAUUGACUCAACACUUAUU
rnacentral:lncRNA from 1 species